rnacentral:miRNA from 1 species
CAUGGGGAGUCUUAUUAAAAUCUAGGUCUAAUUCAGUGGGUCUGGAGUGAGGCCAGAGAUUCUGCAUUUAUAACAAGCUCCCAGGUGAUGGUGAUAUUUCUGAUUCAGAGGUUUAUAGGAUA